GGAACGAGAGACUUGGAAAAGAAAGGGACAUAGACAAAGUAUAGAGAAAGAAAAAAGGGGGCCCAGGGGACCGGCGCUCAGCACACGGAGGAUCUCUGCCAGCCUCUGAGUUCCAUUAGUAUUUAUUGAUCAUUAUUGGGUGUUUCUCGGAGAGUGGGAUGUGGCAGGAUCAUAGGAUAGUAGUGGAGAGAGGGUCAACAGGUAAACACGUGAACAAAGGUCUCUGCAUCAUAAACAAGAAAACAAGUAUGAUUAUCUUCCAACUACUGUGAAUGUGUGCUCAGAACUGGUGAAGCUAGUUUUCUGUGUGCUUGUGUCAUUCUGUGUUAUAAAGAAAGAUCAUCAAAGUAGAAAUUUGAAAUAUGCUUCCUGGAAGGAAUUCUCUGAUUUCAUGAAGUGGUCCAUUCCUGCCUUUCUUUAUUUCCUGGAUAACUUGAUUGUCUUCUAUGUCCUGUCCUAUCUUCAACCAGCCAUGGCUGUUAUCUUCUCAAAUUUUAGCAUUAUAACAACAGCUCUUCUAUUCAGGAUAGUGCUGAAGAGGCGUCUAAACUGGAUCCAGUGGGCUUCCCUCCUGACUUUAUUUUUGUCUAUUGUGGCCUUGACUGCCGGGACUAAAACUUUACAGCACAACUUGGCAGGACGUGGAUUUCAUCACGAUGCCUUUUUCAGCCCUUCCAAUUCCUGCCUUCUUUUCAGAACAAGCCUCAAGUUCCGGAAUACGCACCUAGGCAAGAAAGGAUCCGAGAUCUAAGUGGCAAUCUUUGGGAGCGUUCCAGUGGGGAUGGAGAAGAACUAGAAAGACUUACCAAACCCAAGAGUGAUGAGUCAGAUGAAGAUACU
rnacentral:lncRNA from 1 species